ACAAGGAGACCAGUUCACAUAAGUUUGAUGAAGAGUCUGAGUCAAGGAGUUAAGGAGAGGAGAGAAAGAUCGUGUGUUAAAUGAUAUACUUAAGGCUGCUGAAGGAAGGGAAAAGAUCCCUCCAUCAUCGCGCCUUGAAGUAUUUAUAGUGGGAAAGUGAUAUACUUAAGUCUCCAAGUGAGGGCCUGCUUUAACAUUUCUUUUGUUGAGAUAGCACGAUGUUGUUAUGCCUCAAUGGUCAUUUAGUGGUCCCCUCUUAGUGGUAAAUGUAUACUCGCUAAUAGUGAGUGGUUGUAAGUGUACACCCACUAAUAGUGGGUGUCCCAAGAUGAUUAGCCUUAUGAAAGGUUCAAGGCAUACGGGUGGUUGGCCUGCAAGGCGGAAGGUCGUCUAUGAGUGCUUCUCAGAUUGUUUCUUGUGUGUUAGAGCAUAUGGUCUGUUAGCUUGUUACUAAUUUGUUAUCUAAAUUGGUAUAUUGUUAGUAUUAUGGUUAGCAGCAGUUAAGCAUACAUAAGUAUAUAAACUCUUUCCCAGUACCUAUCCAAAAAAGAAUGAAAUACUAGUAUUGUUUAGUAAAUUCAGUUUCUCUCUUAAUUGUUUUUGUUAUUCAUUUCAAUAGAGUUACUAACAUGGUAUCAGUCGCCUGAUUUCCUAGAACCUUACCUUCUCUCUUUGCCGAUCCAUGGAAAAUUCCACCAACUCUACUUCUGCUGCCUCCUUCUCUAGCUCUCGUUUGAUUCAAUCAUUUCCUUGCCAUAAUACAGUAAAGUUAGAUGACGGCAAUCUUGUGCAAUGACAGCAACAUGUACAAUUGAUCAUUGAAGGUUAUGAAUUGCAAGGUUUUUUAGGGGGUACGUUACCUGUUCCACCUCACUUUGUGGCUUUUCCAGAUGGAGUUUUAACUCCGAAUCCUGAUGCGUCUCUCUUUAUUCAACAAGAUAAGUUACUUGCCUCUUGGCUUCUCUCUACGAUUAGUGCCUCGUUACUGUCUUGUUUUAAAAUUGCCAAAACAACUUAUAAAGUAUGGAGCACUACGAAUCGGCUCUUUGCUGUUGCCACUGGUACUAAACUGUCUCGAAUUAAGCAUGACCUACACUCUAUCAAGAAAGGAACAUUAACUGUCAAAGAAUAUAUUCCAAUAUCCAAAAUACCAGUGCUUUACUUGAGGCAUCUGGAUCUUUCGUUUCAGAGGCUGAGAAGGUGGAGGUUAUUCUUGUCGAUCUCUCGUCAGAUUUUGAUGCAGUGUUAACGCUGGCGUCUUUCGCCUCUGAGACACUUCCAUUUCAAAAGAUCGUCGAUGUUUUCUUAGAGUUCGAGAGUCGUUAGACUCGUGCAGUGCAUGAUGCUCCGUUUCAUGCCAACAUGGUUGAGGUCCCUUCGAGUAUGAUGAUGGCAGAUUCUGUUCGUGGAGACGGUCGGUCUUUCUCUAAUUCUUAUGGGCGUAGCUUUCGACCACGGAUUGAAUGUCAGAUCUGCAGUUAUUAUGGUCUUCUGGCACAACGUUGCUUCUAUCGCUACAACCGUGACUAUGACAAUCUGUCGCCUUCGACCAUGGCAAGUCACUUCUAUACUCAACAUGGACGAGAUUCUCGUGGGAAUAUGUUUGCUCGAUCUAAUGAUUUUGGUGGGUCUAGGUAGUAUGUUGGUCUGUGGGGGCAGUACCGGCGUCGUUUUCUAGUGGUUCCUCGAGGGAAGGGUGGCCACCGUUGUAAAAUUUUGC
rnacentral:lncRNA from 1 species